AGAGUUUGAUCAUGGCUCAGAACGAACGCUGGCGGCGUGGAUAAGACAUGCAAGUCGAACGCGACUUAUCUGAUUAGCAAUAAUUAGGUAAGUUGAGUGGCGAAAGGGUGCGUAACACGUGGGAAUUUACCAAGAAGUGGGGAAUAGCUCGGCGAAAGCCGAAUUAAUACCGCAUACGAUCGAAAGAUCAAAGCCGGGGACCGCAAGGCCUGGCGCUUUUUGAGAAGCCCGCGGCCCAUCAGCUAGUUGGUGAGGUAAUGGCUCACCAAGGCUAUGACGGGUAGCUGGUCUGAGAGGACGACCAGCCACACUGGAACUGAGACACGGUCCAGACACCUACGGGUGGCAGCAGUCGAGAAUUUUUCACAAUGGACGAAAGUCUGAUGGAGCGACGCCGCGUGGAGGAUGAAGGUUCUUGGAUUGUAAACUCCUGUCACUGCAGAACAAGGAUACGCCAGUUAACAGCCGGCGUAUUUGAUGGUAUGCGGAGAGGAAGGGACGGCUAACUCUGUGCCAGCAGCCGCGGUAAGACAGAGGUCCCGAGCGUUGUUCGGAUUCAUUGGGCGUAAAGGGUGUGUAGGAGGUCGGGUAAGUCAGGUGUGAAAUCUCACAGCUUAACUGUGAAACUGCGCUUGAUACUGCUCGGCUAGAGGAUCGGAGGGGGUAACGGAAUUUAUGGUGUAGCAGUGAAAUGCGUAGAUAUCAUAAGGAACACCGGUGGCGAAGGCGGUUACCUGGAAGAUUCCUGACUCUGAAACACGAAAGCCAGGGGAGCAAACGGGAUUAGAUACCCCAGUAGUCC
rnacentral:rRNA from 1 species